rnacentral:rRNA from 1 species
UACGGGGGGGGGCAAGCGUUGUUCGGAAUUACUGGGCGUAAAGGGCUCGUAGGUGGCCAACUAAGUCAGACGUGAAAUCCCUCGGCUUAACCGGGGAACUGCGUCCGAUACUGGAUGGCUUGAAUCCGGGAGAGGGAUGCAGAAUUCCAGGUGUAGCGGUGAAAUGCGUAGAUAUCUGGAGGAAUACCGGUGGCGAAGGCGGCAUCCUGGACCGGCAUUGACGCUGAGGAGCGAAAGUCAGGGGAGCAAACGGG